rnacentral:rRNA from 1 species
GACGAACGCUGGCGGCGUGCCUAAUACAUGCAAGUUGAGCGCUGAAGGUUGGUACUUGUACCAACUGGAUGAGCAGCGCACGGGUGAGUAACGCGUGGGGAAUCUGCCUUUGAGCGGGGGACAACAUUUGGAAACGAAUGCUAAUACCGCAUAAAAACUUUAAACACAAGUUUUAAGUUUGAAAGAUGCAUUUGCAUCACUCAAAGAUGAUCCCGCGUUGUAUUAGGUAGUUGGUGAGGUAAAGGCUCACCAAGGCGAUGAUACGUAGGCGACCUGGGAGGGGGAAGGGCAAAAAUGGGAAGGGGAAAAGGCACAAAAGCAUACGGGAGGCAGCAGUAGGGAAACGUCGGAAAAGGAAGAAAGUCAGAACGAGCAAAGCCGAGGGAGGGAAGAAGGGUUUCGGAUCGUAAAACUCUGUUGGUAGAGAAGAAAGUUGGUGAGAGUGGAAAGCUCAUAAAGUGACGGUAACUACACAGAAAGGGACGGCUAACUACGUG